rnacentral:lncRNA from 1 species
GUACUGUUUAUUUCUUCUUUGUAAAGUAAAGAGAAAUCAUGUUAACCAGGUCAAUGUGAUCCUGCAAUUUUUUUUUUUUUAGUUAACUUGGAUGAUUUUUAUCUUGCUUUAAUAGAAGAAACCCGGCCACUUCAGAGUCUGCAAAUGGAGCUCCUUGUCACUGAGCUCCAGAGAUGUAAACAGAAGUAGCAAACAGGUUCCUCUUUUAGUGUAAACAAAUAAGUGAUUUUUUAAAAAAAACUUCUGAAGGGAUUACUUGUCCAUAAUGUGAAUUUUACAUUUUUAUUCACAUAUUCAUCCAUAAGAAACACUAGGUGAAUGCAAAAAAACUGGGCCAAAUAGGCCUGGCGCAUACACACACCUCAAACAUCUCUAGCUUCCUCAGCAGAUGGUGUCUGAUUAUGAGCCACCAUGAACUGAUUUUACUCCACGUUUAUAAUACUUCUGAUGGCCACUCCCACAAGAAAACUUCAGGGUUUCUUUCAAGGAAACAGCAGUAGCAACCAGAAGACAGGAGGCACAAGAAGUUAGCAAAGAAAGCCACCUACUUCUUCCGCCUUAAUUUCUCUAAGCACUUAUCAAGCAGAAGAAUCACAGAAGAAUACAAUAAAUGGUCUAGAAACUGCAGUGAUGAUUUACUAAAGGAAGAGCGUGGUUCCCUGAGCAAUGGCCCCAUCCUCGAGCCCGAAGACCCACUGCCCUAAAUGAGGACAGACAUUUGUUUUUGCACUCAAAAAAGUUGCCUUGUGGCUCGCCAUGCCCCCUAGUCUUGCCCCCAAAUAAACUCGAGACCUUAGCGGGCACGCACUCAAGUGGCUGAACAUGAAGACCAGCAGAACAGUGCCGGCGGAAUGACAUGGCAGAGAAAGAGAGAAGAGGAGGGACAUUUGGACACCAAGGGGAGAUUGGCCGGGGUGGUUGGAGAAGAGUCUGGCCACUGGGAGGCCCGACUCCAGGGGAAGACCACCUUUCCACUCCAUCCCCACUUCUGGCUUCCCCUGCAUCUCACUGAGAGCCACCUCCACCACUCAAUAAAACCUUGUACUCAUCCUUCAAGCCUGGGUGUGAUCCGAUUCUUUCGG